GUUUCUGGCUAUCCCACUUUCCCCAUCGUCUGGCUAUCCCACUUUCCCAGCAACACUCGAGUGGAAGUAGUUCGUCCUCGGCGAUUUCACCGGCAACCUCGCCGACGUUGCCGCUCCGGUGCGCCCUGUCUCGUCUCCCCACUUCCUUCCCUCGCUUCGUCGGUCGUCGUCUGCCCCAGAGAGUAGGAGCCGCCUCGUCCCUCCCGGCCCCGCCCGCGCCCCCCGAUCCCGUCUGUCACCAUGAAUCCCGAGUAAUGUGGACACUGCAAGAAGCUUGCUCCAGAGGGCUCUGGAAUGAAGCUCAAGGACAUACCCAAUGGCUUCUGACGGCACCAGGAACUCCCCUAUUCCCAUCUGUAUAAGUUGAGUCCAAAAGGUCCCCGGUGAGCCAAGCUGGAACGCCAAAGACUCGUCCAACUACCUUAAAAUCUAGGCUUUAGCAAUGAUAGUGGUAUCUUUGCAAUGAAGAAUCUUGAGCUUUGGGACCUAAAUGUCAAUUUGGUGGACAAGUUUUGUGAAGAUGAUGUUGACCAUCUUCGUAUCAAGUACGUCAAUGACAUGAUUUUCAAUGAAUUCAAUUGUUCUGAUGUUGGUCGAUCAAAAGUCAUGGAAUAUGAUGCCGAGGUAAUACUAGUUGCAAUGUCACUUUUUUGUGUACUGUUCCAUCAUGUACUCAAUUGAUAGUUGAUUCUAAUAUUUUUUUCCUCAUGUCUAUGCAAAGUACUACAAGAGAGAAUGACCUACAUGUUUGUGUCCAGAUCUUGUGUUUUAGGUUCCUGUUAUAUAGGGUGACCUACAUGUUUGUGUCCAGAUCUUGUGUUUUAGGUUCCUGUUAUAUAGGGUGUAGGUUCAUGCUAUUAGUGUAUGGUACUUUGUAAAGAAGCAACUAUGUUGAUGAGAAUAUUUGGAGCUACAGUGGUUGUAAAUACUAAUCUAUAGUCAGUCAAGAGGAUACAGUAAAGUUGAUGACAAUAUUUGGUACUAUUUGCAUCUACAACAAGAUGCAUUUUUUGUUUUAAUGCUUCAUCUGAACUGUUUGUUUUAUAUGCAUUUUUUAGACUUGCUUUCUCUGUUAGUGUGUCUAUUUUGUCCUCUAUGUGUUAGUGUAGUAACUUUUGAUAGCAAAAGACAAGGACAAGUUUGAGGGGUUGUGGAGGUCCCUCUUCUUCUUUACAUUACCAUCAGAAUGAUGGUUGGGAUCAGACGAUGGAAGCUGCUGCACUAAAAUCCAGGGUGGUGUAUGCAAAGUACCAUCUCAUCAGGUUCAAGGAGCAAAGAGGAAGGAUUUGAGAGCACCACGAAUGCUUACAACUCACCCCAUUAGCCAUGGGCUUGCUUAUGCCACAAAGAGCACUCAUAUGUGUAAGUAUAUCAAGCGCUAUGUUUCAGCUUAGGAAACCUUAAUGGUUGCAAAAUAUGUUGUAACACAAUCUCAUACACAAAAACAUCUAAAUGAAAAGCAUAGCUUGUGCAUAUUUGUUCUGG